UUUGCAUUAAACCAGCAAGUGAGCUUUGUUCUCUGUACAGUUCUAAGGAUUGAGUGCUAGGUUUUAGCAAACAAAUAUGGAUUUUUCAAGUUUUGUGAGUAGCUUAAGACCACCUGCAAAUACUGAGUUUUGACAUGUGUCAAAUAGAUGGCGUGUUGAUUGUGUCAGUUAUGGAAUGGCGGUUUGCUGUCAAAAGUUAAGCUAUCCUUUCUUCGAAAAUUACCAAUGAAUUGAUAGAGGAAACGUGAAAGAGUCGUGGCCGUCGUGCAGCCUACCGUCAACUAUUUUGUUCAGAAUCAUUGUAUUCUACUAAAAGUUCCAUCGAAAUGAUACAGGAGUCAUAAUUGUAUUGGACUUGCUAGAUCCCCAAGCCCAGCACAGAAAAAUCUCUGAUUUCAUCUUCUCGAAAGAAGAUUUGAUAACUGAUGGGUGGUUUCAUUUGUUCUAAACUCCAGGUUUCUAAAUUUGCAUUUCAGACUUUAUGAGAAGUCAUGU
rnacentral:lncRNA from 1 species